rnacentral:rRNA from 1 species
CGCUGGCGGCGUGCUUAACACAUGCAAGUCGAACGAGGAUAUACCAGAGGAGAGCUUCGGCAGGAAUCGGGAAUAUUCGAGUGGCGGACGGGUGAGUAACGCGUGAGCAACCUGUCCCAGACAGGGGGAUAACACUUGGAAACAGGUGCUAAUACCGCAUAAGACCACGGUAUCACAUGGUAGUGGGGUAAAAGGAGCAAUCCGGUUUGGGGUGGGCUCGCGUCCGAUUAGAUAGUUGGUGAGGUAACGGCCCACCAAGUCGACGAUCGGUAGCCGACCUGAGAGGGUGAUCGGCCACAUUGGAACUGAGAGACGGUCCAAACUCCUACGGGAGGCAGCAGUGGGGAAUAUUGGGCAAUGGGCGAAAGCCUGACCCAGCAACGCCGCGUGAGUGAAGAAGGCCUUCGGGUUGUAAAGCUCUGUUAUAGUUGACGAAGGAAGUGACGGUAGGCUAUAAGGAAGCCCCGGCUAACUACGUGCCAGCAGCCGC